rnacentral:rRNA from 1 species
GGGAAUAUUGCACAAUGGGCGCAAGCCUGAUGCAGCCAUGCCGCGUGUAUGAAGAAGGCCUUCGGGUUGUAAAGUACUUUCAGCGGGGAGGAAGGGGGUAAAGUUAAUACCUUUGCUCAUUGACGUUACCCGCAGAAGAAGCACCGGCUAACUCCGUGCCAGCAGCCGCGGUAAUACGGAGGGUGCAAGCGUUAAUCGGAAUUACUGGGCGUAAAGCGCACGCAGGCGGUUUGUUAAGUCAGAUGUGAAAUCCCCGGGCUCAACCUGGGAACUGCAUCUGAUACUGGCAAGCUUGAGUCUCGUAGAGGGGGGUAGAAUUCCAGGUGUAGCGGUGAAAUGCGUAGAGAUCUGGAGGAAUACCGGUGGCGAAGGCGGCCCCCUGGACGAAGACUGACGCUCAGGUGCGAAAGCGUGGGGAGCAAACAGGAUUAGAU